GUGCUAAUGUUAUCACUGCUAGCAGCAGAGAAAGAAAGAUUGACAUUUGACUUAGUGUUAAAUGUUUCUGGUUUUCAAAAGUUCAUUCAUACCUGUGUGACAGAAUUAUUCAUACAUCUUCAUAUGAUUAUACCCUUAUCAUUCAAGCCUCAACUCAAUUUAUUUCCUCACAGAAGCCUUCCCUGAACACUCUAACUAGAGUUACCCUCUGACCUAAGAGACUCGACUUUUCAAGAACACAGAGGAGAAAUAGAUACGAACCCUGUCUUUAAGAAGCUAAACGUUUAAUCUGGUGGCUGAGACAUGUACAAAGACAGACAAUGCUAAAGAAGCGUAUGUGUUGAUAUUUAUUCCUGUUUCUUCGUGAAGCACCUCCUUGGUGCCUUACAUAAAAUAUCUCAUGAUACCCACAGAAACUCUGUUGUGUAUCCCUGUUUUAAAGAUGAUAAUAAAA
ensembl:lncRNA